rnacentral:rRNA from 1 species
CACGUAGGGGGCGAGCGUUGUCCGGAUUUAUUGGGCGUAAAGAGCUCGUAGGCGGCUCAGUAAGUCAGGUGUGAAAACUCCAGGCUCAACCUGGAGACGCCACCUGAUACUGCUGUGGCUAGAGUCCGGUAGGGGAGCAUGGAACUCCUGGUGUAGCGGUGAAAUGCGCAGAUAUGCGGAGGAACACCGAUGGCGAAGGCAGCUCUCUGGGACGGUACUGACGCUGAGACGCGAAGCGUGGGAGCGAACAGG